rnacentral:lncRNA from 1 species
GACAUAUUGUACAUCCAUGGAGUACAACUUAUUCUGACUAGGAUCCCAUUCUUGUAGUUAUACAUGAUGUGGAAUUUCACGGGUGAUGUAUUCAUAUUACACAAGUAUUUUUAAGUUUUCAGUGUUGAAUAAAACCACUUCCCUUUCAUACUCCUUCCUCUGCCUCUCCCCCCUCAAAGCCGUGUGAUCAUGUUUUGAAAAUAAAUUCCCUCUGUUUUAAAUUUUGAGAGUGGAUCCUGUUUUGGUGGCUAGACAUGGCUCUCCCAGGUACUCUGGCAAGUUAGCUACCUAGACUCCAACCCAGGCCUGCCAUCCAUCUCUCUCCCCUGAGAAUAGCUGGUACAAAAUGGAAUCAGAUGGUGGCUCCUGUAAUACAAUCCAGGAAUUUCACCAAUUAAGCCAUGUGGAAUAUGGAAAGGCCUGGCAUCUAUUUAUCAGGACUUGUUAGAGUCCUGUGGCUCCAUUCUGGGUGAGUCCAUUUUUCAUGCCAGAUUGGGUAAUUCAGUCAUCAUUCUUUCAUUUAUUCCUUCAGCACAUUUUAAAGAAUCUCUCUGUCUUCAGAAAACAUUUCUAGAGACCCAAUUAGGGAGAAUUAAAAUAUGGGCUAUAAAAAAACACUUCUUCUUGGGGAAUAAUGUUAAAACUGCCCACCCAACUGUGUAAGACAUGAGGUCUGGAGGAACCAGGGUUGGGGAAGUCACAAACAGAGCUCUCCUAACUUGGGUUCCCAGACAAUUGACUACAAGGUGUCAGUUGCUCAGCCUGCAGAUUGAUAUAAAAUUUAUUCUAGCAAAAGAUUGGACAGGAUAUCAUUCCCUACUCUGCUGCCAAAUGAUUUAUCUUUGUUAUUAAUAUCGACAAAGUCCUCUCAAGUCAAUCAUGUGACCCUUCCAGGCGUCAGUAUAAAAUGGGGCAGACAGCCAUUCAAAUGACACUACAUGACCAAAAGGUCUUAUAACUCUCUAUUUCUGAAAAUGAAAGAGAUGGGGAAAAUAAUGGACACUUUGCCACAAAAAAUAGAAUCCUCUUCAUUUCAGACUGAAAAGCUGCAACCAGUCAAUACUACCUAUCAGAAAGCAAUAACCAUGCCAGGAACUUUACACAUGUGGUUGCAUUGGGUCCCUGCAGCACAACCGCCCUACAAGACAGGCUCUUGUUAACCCCCAACUUACAGAUGAGGAGUCUAAGCUCAGAUGCAUUUCUAUAACUUGACGAAGACCCUGAAGCUCCAAAGCAGCAGAGGCAGGAGCCCAUCAGCUCCCCAAGCUCAGGGUGUCUCUGUGUGUGACUCCCCACUGAAAUGUGUUUCAGCAAAAUUUGAGUUCCUGGGUCAUGUAUCCAUAGCAGGUAUGAAAAACAGGAAAGAGAAAACUCAUGAUAGAAAAACAAAAAAAAAAAACCAAAAGAGACAAUCAGCAAUGGACAGCCAUGGGAUAUCAGUGGCUUUGAGUUCAUCUGAAUUUGCUUCCUUCCUUCUGCAGGUACAAUUACAAGUUCUAUUUGUGCCCCAGGAGAGUAGUGGGAAUGAGAUGACUGUGGGCUGUGUGGCAUGUCAGAGGUUCCUUGUAAUGAGCUUGCAUCUGGGUGAGCUUGUGCUUUGGGAAAUCCAGUGUAUCCGUGAGAACUGCAGAGCUGGGCUAAAGAGUAGCUCUGCCACUUGCUAGUCAGUUACUUAAACUCUUGGAACCACAGUUUUUUUGUCUGUAAAUGAGGACAUCUGUAAGCCUUUCAUCCAAGAUUUGUUGUGAAGACUCAAUGAAAUCAUAUUUAUGAAACACAGAGCACCGCCUGCACUAUUAGGGCUAUCUAUGUGCUAACAGCUCUUCUUAUCCGUCUUUUAUGAUGCUCUCAAGUUAGCAGAGAGCACAGAAGCCCUCUAUUGUGGACAAGAGGUGGAUCUUUUAAAAAUGCCAAUGGAUCAGUGAGGACUGGUGUGCCCAAGGCUUGCUUGACCCCUGAAUGGCGCUUGAAGAAAUUGUCCCCAGAGCUCUUUUCCAUGAAGAGAAACUUGUUGUUUCCAAAGCAGCUUCCAACGUUGAGUUCAGAAGUGGUGUCCAUAGAUUCUCCUUGAUGUCCACUGGCACACUUGGCAUCCCUAGUUUACCAUUCAAACUCAGGGAGACAGGAAAACUGGUUCCGGAGAAAAGUGAAGUGGCACAAGUAGGAGAGUCAAAUGAGCACUCACACAGGGACACAGCAAGUGCUACAGCCUGAGCACUCCACCAUUUCCCACCUUCCCACAAGGACAGCCUUUGCUACAUACAUACCUCCUGGGCUGGCUUGUGUCUUCUGUGAGUGGUCAUUUGUCUUCCUUUCUAUGACAUGCUAUCUUUUGGGAAUGGCAGGGCAUAUCCAGAUCUUUCACUGCUUCAUCUUACCCCCUGCCUUGCUAUUAUCUAACUAUAGAUUUGAACCAGCUUGAGAGAACAUUUUGGUGGGAGUGGGGUGGAAGACAGAGCUCAAAUAACAGAAUGUCUUGAUUCAAAAUCCAUUUUUCUGUAAUGUUUGGAACUUGGGAGCAUCCAUUUCAUGUUGACAUUUUAAAAUGAGAACACUCGUGAGGGAUUUGAUGAUGACACUGCAUUUCUAAAGCCCUUUCACAAGAUGACUGAGGAGACAAUUUAUCAUAUUGACUCAUUUCACUUUGGCCAUUGCUAUCGGGGCCUGUGUCUGGAAUGCACUCAUCAGUGCUUAGUACUGGUUUGGGUGCCUCUGUCUUGCUCCCCUUUACCCCUGACUCCUCCUCCUGUCCCAGGGGCUUCUGUCUGCAUUGGGUACUGAUCCCUCUUGCAACUAUAAUGGACAGGGCAAUCUGCAGCUGGGCAAUGGCCAGAUGACAUCACACAGUUUCACUUCACUGUUUUCCCCAAGUGAAUUGGGUCAAGUGUAUUGAGGCAAAAAGGACAUGUGUGGCUCAAUACCAGGCUAUAGCCCUUGAAGCAUAAAAUACAUCCCUUGGGCAGGACAGAGGCCCAAUGUUGGGCUGAUCACGUAAGCCAAGCCCUCGCAUAAACCAAGCCCAGUAGAGUUUCCAUACCAGUCUUUGCUAUCUCGUCUGUAAGAUGGAUACAGCGAUUUUUGCAAAAGCACUUGUCUUCCUAUGUACAGAAUGCAUCUAUAGAUGGAAUAAAAAUUAGAGCAAGUGCAGUCUAUAGUGUUGUGUCGAUUCUGAUAACUUCCCUGUAUCUUCUUAGUGCCAGUUUGGUAGGGUGGACACUGCCUACUUAGAGUUUUAUUUCAGAACUUGUGCAAAAGGCUAGAUUUCAUACUCCUAGCAAGACUGAGAUAUAAGGAUGGGAUAUAAUUAGUGAUCACUAGCACAUGUCAGGGGUACGGGUGAGAGGGUUGUGGAUCAUGUUCCCUGGAUAUAACAGGGUAUUCAAUGGGUAGAUGGAUCACUGCCUUAGGGAACUAGAGGUGCUGCAUAUUAAGUAGCUCCAAAACUUAGAAAAUUAAAAUAAUUAUUUAUUUUCAUAAUUUCUUUGAAGCAGGAAUUCAAG